UACGAAGGGGGCUAGCGUUGCUCGGAAUCACUGGGCGUAAAGCGCACGUAGGCGGAUCUUUAAGUCAGGGGUGAAAUCCUGGAGCUCAACUCCAGAACUGCCUCUGAUACUGGGGAUCUUGAGUCCGGAAGAGGUAAGUGGAACUGCGAGUGUAGAGGUGAAAUUCGUAGAUAUUCGCAAGAACACCAGUGGCGAAGGCGGCUUACUGGUCCGGUACUGACGCUGAGGUGCGAAAGCGUGGGGAGCAAACAGG
rnacentral:rRNA from 1 species